rnacentral:rRNA from 1 species
UGUGGUUAUCGGUUUUAGAAAGCGAUAACUAAAGCAGCAAAUGCGCUUUGGGAGGGAUCUGCGUCCCAUCAGCUAGUUGGUGAGGUAACGGCUCACCAAGGCGACGACGGGUAGGGGACCUGAGAGGGUGGCCCCCCACAAUGGAACUGAAACACGGUCCAUACACCUACGGGUGGCAGCAGUAGGGAAUAUUGCUCAAUGGGCGAAAGCCUGAAGCAGCAACGCCGCGUGUGCGAUGAAGGCCUUCGGGUCGUAAAGCACUUUUCUAAGAGAUGAGAAAGGACAGUAUCUUAGGAAUAAGUCUCGGCUAACUACGUG